GUCUUCAAAUUUGCCUUUGCUUUGCGUUGAUUUGAUUCAUAAAACAACGAGAAAGAGAAUGCACGAUCCUUAUUUUUCAAUCCAACAAGGCUUUGAUUUGAUCCUAUCAUUUCGGUGAAAAUACUGCAUCAUUUUUCUGAAUCAUUUGUGACUCAUUCAACAAGGUAGACUAAGCUGCAGAGGGAUAACAAGCAUUGCUGGUAGGCCUAGCAACGCACACUGUUUUCUUUUCAUCGCGAAUUCACGAAGUGCGCGUCAAUGGUUAACAAGUGAUAAUAAUUAUCAAAAUGGUACACGAAGUUGUUUGAACAGAAUUAUUAUUCAGAAUUCAAGUCAUCUAUGGUUGUUGCUCUACGCACUACUAUACCUGUUAUUGACCACAAUCAGUUUCCUUUGUCUUUUCCUACGAAAAUGGCAUGAUAUUUUAUCAAAUAUGCAUGCUUAUGGCAUUGGCGUCAUGAUCAAACAAGAACACCACCUCUGUAGCGCUGUGGGAGGCAUGGAUCAUUUCACGGAGCCCAACUAUUAUUGCACCGUUCAGAACAAGGCUAUAUUAUACGAACCCUGAUCUUCAACACUCUGUUAUGCAUUACUUCACAAUAUUUUAUCCUAUGUUUUGUGGCAAUAAAAAUGUUCUUGGAAUGU
rnacentral:lncRNA from 1 species